GUCUACGGCCUUACUAUCCUGAAGGUUCGUGAUCUCGUCUGAUCUCGUGAAGCUAAGCAGUGUAUUGGGCCUGGUUAAUACUUGGAUGGGAAACAUAGUCCUAAGACAGACAAUCUAAACU
ensembl:rRNA 5S_rRNA 5S ribosomal RNA